CUUUCUUAUAAAAUCACAGCGAUCGUCUGCCUUAAGAUAAAUAGAUGAGAGUUGAGCUGGGGGAAGAAAAAAAAAAAAAAACAGUUCAUUCGACUCUGAAUAUCAAAUUCAGGAUAAAACACCACUGAUUCUCGGUCAUUCUCAGUAGGGGAAGGAGCUUCUAUUCUUGACCCAGCCCACGACACGUGCCGGGGCUGUCAGCGCCGUGAGAGGCACCUGUGUCUCCCCGAGCUGAGGACGGAUGACAUUUGUACCUACAGGGGUAAAAAAAGAUAAAGCAAACACGGAACAGCACACUCCUCCCGGCCUUCCUUCUUCUGACACCGUUUUCCUUUAGAAGAUCUGAAACUACAAGUCAGG
rnacentral:lncRNA from 1 species